rnacentral:rRNA from 1 species
GACGAACGCUGGCGGCGUGCUUAACACAUGCAAGUCGAACGGAAAGGCCCUGCGUUUGUGGGGUGCUCGAGUGGCGAACGGGUGAGUAACACGUGAGUAACCUGCCCUUGACUUUGGGAUAACUUCAGGAAACUGGGGCUAAUACCGGAUAGGAGCUCCUGCUGCAUGGAGGGGGGUGGAAAGUUUCGGCGGUUGGGGAUGGACGCGCGGCUUAUCAGCUUGUUGGUGGGGUAGUGGCUUACCAAGGCUUUGACGGGUAGCCGGCCUGAGAGGGUGACCGGCCACAUUGGGACUGAGAUACGGCCCAGACUCCUACGGGAGGCAGCAGUGGGGAAUAUUGCACAAUGGGCGGAAGCCUGAUGCAGCAACGCCGCGUGCGGGAUGACGGCCUUCGGGUUGUAAACCGCUUUCGCCUGUGACGAAGCGUGAGUGACGGUAAUGGGUAAAGAAGCACCGGCUAACUACGUG